rnacentral:rRNA from 1 species
CCUACGGGUGGCAGCAGUCGAGAAUCAUUCACAAUGGGGGAAACCCUGAUGGUGCGACGCCGCGUGGGGGAAUGAAGGUCUUCGGAUUGUAAACCCCUGUCAUGUGGGAGCAAAUUAAAAAGAUAGUACCACAAGAGGAAGAGACGGCUAACUCUGUGCCAGCAGCCGCGGUAAUACAGAGGUCUCAAGCGUUGUUCGGAAUCACUGGGCGUAAAGCGUGCGUAGGCUGUUUCGUAAGUCGUGUGUGAAAGGCGCGGGCUCAACCCGCGGACGGCACAUGAUACUGCGAGACUAGAGUGAUGGAGGGGGAAGCGGAAUGCUCGGUGUAGCAGUGAAAUGCGUAGAUAUCGAGAGGAACACUCGUGGCGAAGGCGGGUUCCUGGACAUUAACUGACGCUGAGGCACGAAGGCCAGGGGAGCGAAAGGGAUUAGAUACCCCUGUAGUC